rnacentral:rRNA from 1 species
AACGAACGCUGGCGGCAGGCCUAACACAUGCAAGUCGAGCGAGGACUUCGGUCCUAGCGGCGGACGGGUGAGUAACGCGUGGGAACGUGCCCUUUGCUUCGGAAUAGCCCUGGGAAACUGGGAGUAAUACCGGAUGAGCCCUUUGGGGGAAAGAUUUAUCGGCGAAGGAUCGGCCCGCGUUGGAUUAGGGAGUUGGUGGGGUAAUGGCCUACCAAGCCGACGAUCCAUAGCUGGUUUGAGAGGAUGAUCAGCCACACUGGGACUGAGACACGGCCCAGACUCCUACGGGAGGCAGCAGUGGGGAAUCUUAGACAAGGGGGGAAACCCUGAUCUAGCCAUGCCGCGUGAGCGAUGAAGGCCUUAGGGUUGUAAAGCUCUUUCAGCUGGGAAGAUAAUGACGGUACCAGCAGAAGAAGCCCCGGCUAACUCCGUG